rnacentral:rRNA from 1 species
CGCUGGCGGCGUGCUUAACACAUGCAAGUCGAACGGGAUCCUUGGCAGCUUGCUGCCGGGGUGAAAAGUGGCGAACGGGUGAGUAAUGCGUGACCGACCUGCCCCAUGCACCGGAAUAGCUCCUGGAAACGGGUGGUAAUGCCGGAUGUUCCACAUGAGCGCAUGCGAGUGUGGGAAAGGCUUUUUGCGGCAUGGGAUGGGGUCGCGUCCUAUCAGCUUGUUGGUGGGGUAACGGCCUACCAAGGCGUUGACGGGUAGCCGGCCUGAGAGGGCGACCGGCCACAUUGGGACUGAGAUACGGCCCAGACUCCUACGGGAGGCAGCAGUGGGGAAUAUUGCACAAUGGGCGCAAGCCUGAUGCAGCGACGCCGCGUGCGGGAUGGAGGCCUUCGGGUUGUAAACCGCUUUUGUUCAAGGGCAAGGCACGGUUUCGGCCGUGUUGAGUGGAUUGUUCGAAUAAGCACCGGCUAACUACGUGCCAGCAGCCGCGG